rnacentral:rRNA from 1 species
GAUGAACGCUGGCGGUCUGCUUAACACAUGCAAGUCGAACGAACUCUUCGGAGUGAGUGGCGGACGGGUGAGUAACGCGUGAGAAUCUGCCUUCAGGUCUGGGACAACAGAAGGAAACUUCUGCUAAUCCGGGAUGAGCCUUUUGGUAAAAGAGAAAUUGCCUGGAGAUGAGCUCGCGUCUGAUUAGCUAGUUGGUGAGGUAAAAGCUUACCAAGGCGACGAUCAGUAUCUGGUUUGAGAGGACGAUCAGACACACUGGAACUGAGACACGGCCCAGACUCCUACGGAGGCAGCAGUGGGGAAUUUUCCGCAAUGGGCGAAAGCCUGACGGAGCAAGCCGCGUGGGGGAGAA